rnacentral:lncRNA from 1 species
CUUGGAGCUCGGCAUCCAUUGCUGUACACCAAUCUGGACACUUGGAGGCUUGAUGAUAGGAUGUAGGCUCAUAAGAUGAUGAUAUGGACAAUACAUAAGCCUUGUGAGCAGAUGACAAAUGGUCAUAACCAACAUAUGCUGAAAUGUCAUAUUGCUUACCUGUUUCAGGUGUGACAAUCAUCUUGGAAUCAGAUUGGAUUUGGGAAUCAUUGCAUUUGGCCAAAUUGCAGUGAUAUUGUUCAAGGUAUGAAGGUGGUCUAUGAACCCUUGUUGAUCUUCUAACUUGAAGUGGAGGCAGGUUGGUGGAGUGAUGAAGGGAAGUGGAAUGUGAUGGUAAUGUAGAACUCAUUGGAGAUAAUGUCGGUGAGUAUGCAGGUGAAGAAGUUAAAGUGAGAGCUGGAGAAGGGGAAGAGUCUGAUCUUGCAGGUGCUGGAGAAUAAUGAGAUGAAGUGUUGUUAUCUAGAAAGAGAGGUGAGUGAAUUUUGGUGGUGGUAAUUUGAGAUGGUAUGCCUUGAAAAGGAAAAACAGAUUCAUGAAAGACCACAUUUCUUGAGAUGAUGUAUUUUUGAGUGGUUAGGUUGAAGAGUUUAUAACCUUUCAUUCCAUUGGGGUAGCCAAGAAAAACGCAUGCAUCAGCUCUAGGGUCAAAUUUUGACCUGUUUCUUCUAAGCGUAGAUGCAUAGCAUAAGCAUCCAAACACUCUUAAGUGGGAAUAUGAUGGUUUUGUGUUCAGGAGAAGCUCGUAAGGUGUCUUUUCAGAGAGUUUGGAUGAAGGAAUUCUGUUUAUAAGGUACGUGGCUGUGAGAAUGGAGUCACCCCAAAACUGGUUUGGAAGAUUGGCUUGAAACAUCAAAGAUCUGGCUACAUUAAGAAGAUGGUGGUGUUUUCGUUCAACCACCCCAUUUUGCUGUGGGGUUUCAACACAACUGAGUUGGUGAAUGAUGCCUUUGGAUUGGUAAAAGUCUGCCAUAUGGAAUUCUGGUCCAUUAUCUGAUCUAAUCUUUCUUAUUUUGGUGUUGAAUUGUGUGAGGAUCAGAUUAUAGAAGGAUGCGAUGAUGUUCUUGGUUUGAGAUUUGUUGUUAAUGAGGAAUGUCCAUGUAGUCCUACUAUAAUCAUCUACAAUAGUAACAAAGUACUUGGAACCAUCAAUAGAAGGAUAGUGAAAAGGUCCCCAUAUGUCAACAUGAAUUAGUUCAAAGAUACUGCUGGAUACAUGUGUACUAAUAGGAAAAGGUAAUACAUGCUGUUUAGCAAGUGGGCAGACAGUACAACGAAAGUUCGAUUCACUAACUACUUCUGGUACAGUUUUGUUGAUAAUAGAGAUUCUAGAGCUAGGAACAUGACCUAAUCUACUAUGCCAAAGGUCAAAGGAAUGACUGUAAGCAGUAUUGGCAGUAGGUUCAGAUGUAUUGGACAGUGAAGUGUGAUGUUGUUGUUGAGAUGGUUGAAGCUGUAAGUGUUAGAGGCCACCAUCAAUUUUCCCUAUCCCAAUCGUCUUCCAAGAUAAAAGGUCCUAAAUAAAACAAUAAGCAAAUAUGAAGAUCAAACAACAAUGGUGAACUGAGACCAACUUACUGGCAGAUAUGAGAUUAAAAGUAAAACAUGGAACACAGAGAACAUUUGUCAAAGUAAGGUCACUUGAAAGCUGAACUGUCCCUAUAUGUGUAACCGCUACAACAUGACCAUUAGGCAACUUGACAUUCCCAUUAAUGGUAGCUGUGAUGGUGGUAAGUUGUUGGACAGAACAAACAAUGUGGUCUGUCGCACCAGUAUCGAUUAUCCAAGUGCUCUUGGUGUAUGUGUAAGCAGAACAUGCUAGGCUACUACCUGAGAAGGAUGAUGCUGAAGGCAUUGUUGGAGAUUGAGUUGAUGUGACUUGCAGGUCCCCAACAUGGUUUACAAAACUAGUGGUAAUUGGAGUGGUGGUAGUGGUGACAGGUGAAGGCAUGAAAGCUUCAAGUUGAGGCCUCAGCAUUGAGAUGAUCUGUUGACAUUGAUCUGGGGUGAUAUUAAUGUUGCUGAGGCUGCUUAGAGUUUCAGAACUGUUUGAUGCAACAACUUGGUGAGCUGAUGCAUUUUCAGGUAACCUCUUAGCUAGACGAUGUCCUGGAGGAUAUCCAUUGAGUUUGUAGCACUUAUCCCUUUUUUGACCAGUGAGGCCACAGUAACUACAGAUAGGCCUGUCCUUCCUUUGUCCAGAAUUGCUGCUACUUGUGUUUUUAAUGAGAUGUUGCUGAUUACCAAAACAGUGGCUAGCAAAAGCAGCAGACUCCACCUUUUGGUGUAGAGAUGUCACCUGCCUUUGCUUUUCUUCUUGAGAAACUAGAGCAAAGACACGACUCAGAGA